rnacentral:rRNA from 1 species
UACGAAGGGGGCUAGCGUUGUUCGGAUUUACUGGGCGUAAAGCGCACGUAGGCGGAUCGUUAAGUCGGGGGUGAAAUCCUGGAGCUCAACUCCAGAACUGCCUUCGAUACUGGCGAUCUUGAGUCCGGAAGAGGUAAGUGGAACUGCGAGUGUAGAGGUGAAAUUCGUAGAUAUUCGCAAGAACACCAGUGGCGAAGGCGGCUUACUGGUCCGGUUCUGACGCUGAGGCGCGAAAGCGUGGGGAGCAAACAGG